AUACGGAGGAUGCGAGCGUUAUCCGGAUUUAUUGGGUUUAAAGGGUGCGUAGGCGGACGAUUAAGUCAGCUGUGAAAUGCCCGCGCUUAACGCGGGAAGUGCAGUUGAUACUGGUUGUCUGGAGUGCCGUUGCCGUGGGGGGAAUGUGUAGUGUAGCGGUGAAAUGCAUAGAUAUUACACAGAACGCCGAUUGUGAAGACACCUCACGAAGCGGUAACUGACGCUGAGGCACGAAAGCGUGGGGAUCGAACAGGAUUAGAUACCCUGGUAGUCCACGCAGUAAACGAUGAUGACUAACCGUCGGCGAUAUAAUGUCGGAGGCAAAGCGAAAGCGAUAAGUAUUCCACCUGGGGAGUACGCCGGCAACGGUGAAACUCAAAGGAAUUGACGGGG
rnacentral:rRNA from 1 species